rnacentral:ribozyme from 1 species
CUGACCUAAAUAAAUGCUAAUGGGGUAGGAUCCGAGACCCUGUAAAGGGUUACAUAGGCUCUCCUACUCAACUCCCAUAAUAAUUAGCUCUGCUAAUGGGG